rnacentral:rRNA from 1 species
AAGCGGAGGAAAAGAAACUAACAAGGAUUCCCCUAGUAACGGCGAGUGAAGCGGGAAGAGCUCAAAUUUGAAAUCUGGCAGUCUUCGAUUGUCCGAGUUGUAAUCUAUAGAGGCGUUUUCCGUGCCGGACCGUGUCCAAGUCUCCUGGAAAGGAGUAUCAAAGAGGGUGAUAAUCCCGUACUUAACACGACCACCGGUGCUCUGUGAUACGUCUUCUACGAGUCGAGUUGUUUGGGAAUGCAGCUCAAAAUGGGUGGUGAAUUCCAUCUAAAGCUAAAUAUUGGCGAGAGACCGAUAGCGAACAAGUACCGUGAGGGAAAGAUGAAAAGCACUUUGGAAAGAGAGUUAAACAGUACGUGAAAUUGUUGAAAGGGAAACGAUUGAAGUCAGUCGUGUUCUUUGGAUUCAGCCAGUUCUGCUGGUCUACUUCCUUUGAACGGGUCAACAUCAGUUUUGUCCGGUGGAUAAAGGCAGUAGGAAUGUAGCUUCUCCGGAAGUGUUAUAGCCUAUUGUCACAUACACUGGGUGAGACUGAGGACUGCAGCUCGCCUUUAUGGCCGACCUUCGGGUACGUUCGAGCUUAGGAUGUUGACAUAAUGGCUUUAAACGACCCGUCUUG